UGCGUACCUUUUGUAUAAUGGGUCAGCGACUUAUAUUCUGUAGCAAGGUUAACCGUAUAGGGGAGCCGGAGGGAAACCGAGUCUUAAUUGGGCGUUAAGUUGCAGGGUAUAGACCCGAAACCCGGUGAUCUAGCCAUGGGCAGGUUGAAGGUUGGGUAACACUAACUGGAGGACCGAACCGACUAAUGUUGAAAAAUUAGCGGAUGACCUGUGGCUGGGGGUGAAAGGCCAAUCAAACCGGGAGAUAGCUGGUUCUCCCCGAAAGCUAUUUAGGUAGCGCCUCGUGAAUUCAUCUCCGGGGGUAGAGCACUGUUUCGGCUAGGGGGCCAUCCCGGCUUACCAACCCGAUGCAAACUGCGAAUACCGGAGAAUGUUAUCACGGGAGACACACGGCGGGUGCUAACGUCCGUCGUGAAGAGGGAAACAACCCAGACCGCCAGCUAAGGUCCCAAAGUCAUGGUUAAGUGGGAAACGAUGUGGGAAGGCCCAGACAGCCAGGAUGUUGGCUUAGAAGCAGCCAUCAUUUAAAGAAAGCGUAAUAGCUCACUGGUCGAGUCGGCCUGCGCGGAAGAUGUAACGGGGCUAAACCAUGCACCGAAGCUGCGGCAGCGANNNNNNNNNUGCUGGAGGUAUCAGAAGUGCGAAUGCUGACAUAAGUAACGAUAAAGCGGGUGAAAAGCCCGCUCGCCGGAAGACCAAGGGUUCCUGUCCAACGUUAAUCGGGGCAGGGUGAGUCGACCCCUAAGGCGAGGCCGAAAGGCGUAGUCGAUGGGAAACGGGUUAAUAUUCCCGUACUUGGUGUUACUGCGAAGGGGGGACGGAGAAGGCUAUGUUGGCCGGGCGACGGUUGUCCCGGUUUAAGCGUGUAGGUGUGUGUUCCAGGUAAAUCCGGUUCACUUUAACACUGAGGCGUGACGACGAGGCACUACGGUGCUGAAGCAACAAAUGCCCUGCUUCCAGGAAAAGCCUCUAAGCAUCAGGUAACAUCAAAUCGUACCCCAAACCGACACAGGUGGUCAGGUAGAGAAUACCAAGGCGCUUGAGAGAACUCGGGUGAAGGAACUAGGCAAAAUGGUGCCGUAACUUCGGGAGAAGGCACGCUGACACGUAGGUGAAGUGAUUUACUCAUGGAGCUGAAGUCAGUCGAAGAUACCAGCUGGCUGCAACUGUUUAUUAAAAACACAGCACUGUGCAAACACGAAAGUGGACGUAUACGGUGUGACGCCUGCCCGGUGCCGGAAGGUUAAUUGAUGGGGUCAGCGCAAGCGAAGCUCCUGAUCGAAGCCCCGGUAAACGGCGGCCGUAACUAUAACGGUCCUAAGGUAGCGAAAUUCCUUGUCGGGUAAGUUCCGACCUGCACGAAUGGCGUAAUGAUGGCCAGGCUGUCUCCACCCGAGACUCAGUGAAAUUGAACUCGCUGUGAAGAUGCAGUGUACCCGCGGCAAGACGGAAAGACCCCGUGAACCUUUACUAUAGCUUGACACUGAACAUUGAGCCUUGAUGUGUAGGAUAGGUGGGAGGCUUUGAAGUGUGGACGCCAGUCUGCAUGGAGCCGACCUUGAAAUACCACCCUUUAAUGUUUGAUGUUCUAACGUGGACCCGUAAUCCGGGUUGCGGACAGUGUCUGGUGGGUAGUUUGACUGGGGCGGUCUCCUCCUAAAGAGUAACGGAGGAGCACGAAGGUUGGCUAAUCCUGGUCGGACAUCAGGAGGUUAGUGCAAUGGCAUAAGCCAGCUUGACUGCGAGCGUGACGGCGCGAGCAGGUGCGAAAGCAGGUCAUAGUGAUCCGGUGGUUCUGAAUGGAAGGGCCAUCGCUCAACGGAUAAAAGGUACUCCGGGGAUAACAGGCUGAUACCGCCCAAGAGUUCAUAUCGACGGCGGUGUUUGGCACCUCGAUGUCGGCUCAUCACAUCCUGGGGCUGAAGUAGGUCCCAAGGGUAUGGCUGUUCGCCAUUUAAAGUGGUACGCGAGCUGGGUUUAGAACGUCGUGAGACAGUUCGGUCCCUAUCUGCCGUGGGCGCUGGAGAACUGAGGGGGGCUGCUCCUAGUACGAGAGGACCGGAGUGGACGCAUCACUGGUGUUCGGGUUGUCAUGCCAAUGGCACUGCCCGGUAGCUAAAUGCGGAAGAGAUAAGUGCUGAAAGCAUCUAAGCACGAAACUUGCCCCGAGAUGAGUUCUCCCUGAGACUUAGAGUCUCCUGAAGGAACGUUGAAGACGACGACGUUGAUAGGCCGGGUGUGUAAGCGCAGCGAUGCGUUGAGCUAACCGGUACUAAUGAACCGUGAGGCUUAACCUUACAACGCCGAAG
rnacentral:rRNA from 1 species